GACGAACGCUGGCGGCGUGCUUAACACAUGCAAGUCGAGCGGUAAGGCCCUUUCGGGGGUACACGAGCGGCGAACGGGUGAGUAACACGUGGGUGACCUGCCCUCAGCUCUGGGAUAAGCCUGGGAAACCGGGUCUAAUACUGGAUAUGACUCCAUGACGCAUGUUGUGGGGUGGAAAGCCUUGUGCGGCUGAGGAUGGGCCCGCGGCCUAUCAGCUUGUUGGUGGGGUGANGGCCUACCAAGGCGACGACGGGUAGCCGGCCUGAGAGGGCGACCGGCCGACACUGGGACUGAGACACGGCCCAGACUCCUACGGGAGGCAGUAGUGGGGAAUCCUGCGCAAUGGGCGAAAGCCUGACGCAGCGACGCCGCGUGAGGGAUGACGGCCU
rnacentral:rRNA from 1 species